AAACCAUGAUUCGAAGACCUCAUCAAAUAUGUAUUGAACCUCUCUCAAACUUCAUAAAGUUGUUCCAAAUGUUGCUUGAAUUCAAAAAUCUUGUCUUUGAGUUU